CGGACACCUGAACGCAGGUGUGAAAGUAGCCUAACAUGGCACCCCAAAUAAGGAGACCUGCAGGCUGCAGCAGAUAUCCCAUGUGACAGGUCACCCCCAGGAAACUGUAGGUCAUAUAUAAAUUUAUUUAAUGGGGGUGUGGCACGGGAGGAGC